UACGAAGGGUGCAAGCGUUAAUCGGAAUUACUGGGCGUAAAGGGUGCGUAGGCGGUCGGGUAAGUCUGAUGUGAAAUCUCACAGCUUAACUGUGAAACUGCAUUGGAUACUAUCCGGCUCGAGGAAUGGAGGGGAGACUGGAAUACUUGGUGUAGCAGUGAAAUGCGUAGAUAUCAAGUGGAACACCAGUGGCGAAGGCGAGUCUCUGGACAUUUCCUGACGCUGAGGCACGAAAGCCAGGGGAGCAAACGGG
rnacentral:rRNA from 1 species